rnacentral:sRNA from 12 species
UGUGAUGGACCCUGCUCUGUGUGGCCACACAACAGGUGGACAGUAAACUAUGUCCAAUCAAA